rnacentral:tRNA from 1 species
GGGUGGAUACCAGAGUGGUCAAAUGGAACUGGCUGUAAACCAGUUGGCCUCGUGCCUUCGGGGGUUCGAAUCCCUCUCCACCCA